rnacentral:rRNA from 1 species
AGAGCGAACGCUGGCGGCAGGCCUAAUACAUGCAAGUCGAACGGAUCCUUCGGGAUUAGUGGCGGACGGGUGAGUAACGCGUGGGAACGUGCCCUUUGGUUCGGAACAACUCAGGGAAACUUGAGCUAAUACCGAAUGUGCCCUUCGGGGGAAAGAUUUAUCGCCAUUGGAGCGGCCCGCGUCUGAUUAGCUAGUUGGUGGGGUAAAGGCCCACCAAGGCUACGAUCAGUAGCUGGUCUGAGAGGAUGAUCAGCCACACUGGGACUGAGACACGGCCCAGACUCCUACGGGAGGCAGCAGUAGGGAAUCUUGCGCAAUGGGCGAAAGCCUGACGCAGCCAUGCCGCGUGAAUGAUGAAGGUCUUAGGAUUGUAAAAUUCUUUCAGCGGGACGAUAAUGACGGUACCGCAGAAGAAGCCCCGGCUAACUUCGUGCCAGCAGCCGC